GCCUAGGUAGCUCAGUGGUAGAGCACCCCCUUGGUAAGGGGGAGGUCGUGAGUUCAAUUCUCAUCCUAGGCU
rnacentral:tRNA from 1 species